AACCCAUGCCUCCACAAGUCUGUUCUCUAUGGAAUGUGCAGAUGCGGUGACUUUUGUGUUUCUGGAACCUGAGACAGUGGUGGUAGCAGCUGGCACACACUCCUGGAACCCACAGCACCAGCAGCAGUUAGUGACUGUUACCAGGGUUGUGUCUUCCGCUUCUCCUUGAAAAAGACCAUGAUUUGGGAGUUCCCACUGUG